CCUACGGGUGGCUGCAGUGGGGAAUAUUGCACAAUGGGCGCAAGCCUGAUGCAGCCAUGCCGCGUGUGUGAAGAAGGCCUUCGGGUUGUAAAGCACUUUCAGCGGGGAGGAAGGCGUUAAGGUUAAUAACCUUGUCGAUUGACGUUACCCGCAGAAGAAGCACCGGCUAACUCCGUGCCAGCAGCCGCGGUAAUACGGAGGGUGCAAGCGUUAAUCGGAAUUACUGGGCGUAAAGCGCACGCAGGCGGUCUGUCAAGUCGGAUGUGAAAUCCCCGGGCUCAACCUGGGAACUGCAUUCGAAACGGGCAGGCUAGAGUCUUGUAGAGGGGGGUAGAAUUCCAGGUGUAGCGGUGAAAUGCGUAGAGAUCUGGAGGAAUACCGGUGGCGAAGGCGGCCCCCUGGACAAAGACUGACGCUCAGGUGCGAAAGCGUGGGGAGCAAACAGGAUUAGAUACCCUAGUAGUC
rnacentral:rRNA from 1 species